UACGGAGGGGGCUAGCGUUGUUCGGAAUUACUGGGCGUAAAGCGCACGUAGGCGGCUUUGUAAGUUAGAGGUGAAAGCCCGGGGCUCAACUCCGGAAUUGCCUUUAAGACUGCAUCGCUAGAAUUGUGGAGAGGUAAGUGGAAUUCCGAGUGUAGAGGUGGAAUUCGUAGAUAUUCGGAAGAACACCAGUGGCGAAGGCGACUUACUGGACACAUAUUGACGCUGAGGUGCGAAAGCGUGGGGAGCAAACAGG
rnacentral:rRNA from 1 species